rnacentral:rRNA from 1 species
GCAUAUCAAUAAGCGGAGGAAAAGAAACCAACAGGGAUUGCCUCAGUAACGGCGAGUGAAGCGGCAACAGCUCAAAUUUGAAAUCUGGCCUCUUUGGGGUCCGAGUUGUAAUUUGUAGAGGAUGUUUCGGGUACCGCCUCGGUUUAAAUUUCUUGGAACAGAAUGUCAAAGAGGGUGAGAAUCCCGUCUUGGACCGGCGGUAGGGCCCAUGUGAAACUCCUUCGACGAGUCGAGUUGUUUGGGAAUGCAGCUCAAAAUGGGUGGUAAAUUUCAUCUAAAGCUAAAUAUUGGCCAGAGACCGAUAGCGCACAAGUAGAGUGAUCGAAAGAUGAAAAGCACUUUGAAAAGAGAGUUAAACAGUAUGUGAAAUUGUUGAAAGGGAAGCGCUUGCAACCAGACUUGAGCGCGGCGGUUCCCCCUUCCUUUUGGUUGGGUUACUCCGCCGUGUCCAGGCCAACAUCGGUUCUGGGGGUCGGUUAAAGGCCCUGGGAAUGUAUCUACUCCUUCGGGGGUAGACUUAUAGCCACGGGUGUCAUGCGACCUCCCGGGACCGAGGAACGCGCUUCGGCUCGGAUGUUGGCGUAAUGGUUGUCAGCGACCCGUCUUGAAACACGGACC